GCCCAUCUUGGUAAAAGUAUCCAUGUAGAGGAUAUCUGCAGAGCUGCCGCUGUCGACAAUCAUCCACUCGACUCGGGAAUUGGGACCGAUGUCUGCUUGGAUCACGAGUGGGUCCUUGUGAGGUUGCAAGACAUCGUCCAGGUCCUCUUCGAAGAAGUAUAUUGACUUCUCCUCGCGGACCCGCUUUCCGUUGUUUCGAGGUGUUGAUUGUGACAUCAGCACCUUUCGGGAAUAUCCCCUAUUCUGGCCAACGGAUCCACCACCAAAUAUCAUAUUGAUGGUCUUCCGCUGACGGUUCUCGCUGUUGUCGCUAUUUGGCGAAGGAGAGUGAUGAAGCACUGAAUCUUCUACAAGGGCUCGCGGUGGUGCGAGGUUGAUGCCGGAGGCUUUGGAGUCCACGACGCACGCUCUACGUCAAAUACCUGCAAUUGGAAACUAGGCGAUUCUAAUGAGACUCGCCGAGUUUCGUAGUGAUGCUCUGGUGUGAGAGAGGAACUUGAAUCGUGCCUUUGAGUGUCCCCUUGAGACUCUUUUAAUAGGAUCUCGGAGGACGCAAUCAAAGGCGGACAUCGCGCCUAUGGUCAUAUAUGGUAACAUUUAUGACGUUGGCUGGUGGCGAGUAACGGUCGUAAGUCGCCGAUUUAUGUAUGGAAGUCGCCUAGUUAGAGCUAACUCGGCG
rnacentral:lncRNA from 1 species